CGGGUCGGACGAUCCGUCGCUCACCGGCGAAUGAACGGUGUGAGGAAAGUCCGGGCAACACAGAGCGCCAUACUCCCUAACGGAGAGCUGUCGGCAACGGCAGAGUAGCGUGACAGAAAAUAACCGCGGAGCAGUCGGCUUUCGCAAGGGUGAAAAGGUGGGGUAAGAGCCCACCGGGCGGCAUGGCGACAUGCCGCGCCGCACGCCUUAUGGGUUGCAAGGUCAAGUAUACCGGCAUUUAAGGAUUGCUCGUCCAUUGCCGAGGGGUAGACCGCUAAAGCCAUGGCGGCAACGUCUGGCUCAGAUAAAUGACGGAUGUCGGCGCAAAACUCCGCGUUCGCGUGGAAAGUAGCGCCGAUACAUAACCCGGCUUAUAGUCCGGCCCGGAUU
rnacentral:RNase_P_RNA from 1 species